rnacentral:rRNA from 1 species
AUACGGAGGAUCCGAGCGUUAUCCGGAUUUAUUGGGUUUAAAGGGUGCGUAGGCGGGAUAAUAAGUCAGUGGUGAAAGUUUGCAGCCUAACUGUAAAAUUGCCGUUGAAACUGUUAUUCUUGAGAGUAGAUAAGGUAGGCGGAAUGUGUUGUGUAGCGGUGAAAUGCAUAGAUAUAACACAGAACCCCGAUUGCGAAGGCAGCUUACCGGGCUACAUCUGACGCUGAUGCACGAAAGCGUGGGGAUCAAACAGGAUUAGAUACCCUGGUAGUCCACGCAGUAAACGAUGAAUACUAGCUGUAUGCGAUAUAUUGUAUGUGGCAAAGCGAAUGCAUUAAGUAUUCCACCUGGGGAGUACGUUCGCAAGAAUGAAACUCAAAUGAAUUGGCGGGG